AUUAUCAGAAAUGCACUGAAAGAGCUGCUAGAUACAUUCAAGAGAGAAAUUAUCAUGUUUUUGAGAGACAAGGAGUGUUAAUGGGUGAUCCAAUGGAUAGGGGACUCAGAUGUAUUGAGGUUAACAUAACAUAUGAUGGUGAUCAAUGAACUACCUCUUUUUCUCUCUCUCUCUCUCUCUCUUUCUUUUUGUUCCUGUUACCUUUAUGUCUGUUUGUCAUGUUUUGCUAUUAUCAUUAA